UCCAUUUUCAGAAUUUUUAAAGUUCAUGUUAUCUGGUCAAAUAAAAUUUGGGUAACAUUCUACAAAUCACUGCAGAAAGGGAUUUGAAUAUCAUAACCAAGGUAAUUUCAUACUCCCUCCUGUUCAAUUUCAUACUCCCUCCGUCAAAUUCGAUGUAGUUUCUUAUGGUUAUAAUUCAUCACUUUAUAUUUGUACGAAAUGGUAUAAAUUUUGAUUCUAAAAAUGGUCAAUUUAACUUAAAAAAUCAAACUAAGUCAACAUUUACAGGCCAGAGGAAGGAUAUUCUAACAAAGAUUUUGACACUUUUUUUGCCAUAACAUAUCAGAAACUAUUCAACUACAAAAAUAAAAUAAUUAAAAGUCGAACGCAUAGUUAGAGUCAGAAAGAUAAAUUAGGCUAAAUCACAGUGCGAAAAGAGUCAAAUAUUUUUUCUUAAGAAAGCAGACAUCGACUUAAAAUGGGCACUUUUAAGUGUAUUUUGAUGUAUAUUUUGAUAUGAUCCCUAUCAACAAAAAAAACACUCUCAACUAUCAGGAACAAUCUAAUCAACUUCUCAUGCUAUGCUUGCACAAAAAAUUACAUUACAAUGAUCUUGUAAAUAUCAAAGCAUAUAAAAAACUAAGUCAAAUAACUAAGGCUUCCAUCACCUGCUUGAGAUCACCCUUUUUUUGUUUUGGGCCUUCGGAGGUCUUAGAACAUUCCAAUCCAGCUUUUCAUGCUUGUGUUUCUUGUGAGAACUUUUACUGCUUGACUUCGAGUCCUGAUCACCUUCAAUGUUUUUUGGCAAUUUAUUGGGAUAUGGUAUUUCAGAGAUUACCUCGGAAUGUUUCCUUUUAAGGUCUUCAUUUGCAUCACCAUUGUUUCUAUCUAGCUUUGAGCUUUCUGAUCCAUCCUGUGCAUACCCAUUUUCUCUGUAACGAUGAACCAUGAGAAAUUUAAAGAUGCGCUAAUGGAAGUUUAAUUAACUAAUGGAACUUGAAUUUCACAGUGACUGAGUCAUAAACAGAAACGUUGAUUCACAUGUAGGAUAUGCAGCAUCAGAUCCUUGGCUUUUUCUUGUUUUAGCCUUUCAUGGGAUAAAAAAGGAAUUCGCAAUUUUAACAUCCUUGAAGUAGCAUUACAUACUCCAUUGUGAAUCGCUUUUAAUGGUAGAAUAAUAUGCAAUUCCAUGGUUCGAUAAUAUUUAUACAGAAGAGAUCUGAAAUUUAUUUAUUUUUCAAAAGUGAAACAGAGUCCAUCCUUUACACAAUCCACCACUAUCAGGGAUGAAAUACAGUAAAUAAUGAAUUGACUACAAAAUACCAACAGAACUUGGUACAAUUAAACAAAGCAUGAGGUUAAUGCGUCAGCUAUAAAAGUCCUGCUUUUUGUCAUCAAUAGCCACAUUUUUUUAGUCUCAAUGUCUUAACAUAAGACAGAUUGCUUCAUGGGUUUGAUUCAACAAUUCCUCAUGGAUGGAAAAGCUGAAUCUACCCUGUUUGGAGGAGAUACUUCUAAUUUUCAUUUUACCAAAUAAAUAUACUAGUUAUUAUAACAAAAGUGAGUUGUUAAACAGCAAUCAUUGCAUCUCCCCAAAACCCAUGUGAAGAAAGUAGUGGACCACCGACCACAUGUUGCUUCAUUGUUUGAUGGUUUCUAUUUGUGGGGCUUGGUCCUUCUCUUUUGGGGGUUGCUAGGCAGUGUUUGGUGGUUAACUUCUUGCAGGCCUAGGGAGGAGUGAAGGGUUGGCAAGGAAAUGUGGUCGACUCAUUGGUCGUAGUGGAUAACUUGGAGAGAAAUGAGUAGGAAAUGCUUUGAAGAUAUCGAGAGAUCAAUUGUUCAUAUUCACUGUUUAUUUUACGUCUUUUUUUUCUUUUUGACAAAAUGAAAUUUAUCCAGCCUUUUUUAUAAAUCGAUUCAUUAUGGCAACUUGUCAAGGGGACAUGGUGUGACUCCAAGGAAAGUUGAAGGUGCUUAUAGGGGUUAUACUUAAUUUUCUGGUCAAAGAGGUUCUUUUUUUUCUUUUCUCCCUAGUCCUUUGCAUAUAAGCCGUGUAUACAUGUAAAAGGCCCCAUUUUAGCAUCUCUAUUUUAAUAAUUUAUAUUUAUUAAAACAGAAUUGUGUAGAUUACCA
rnacentral:lncRNA from 1 species